CGGGGAAUAUUGCACAAUGGGCGCAAGCCUGAUGCAGCCAUGCCGCGUGUAUGAAGAAGGCCUUCGGGUUGUAAAGUACUUUCAGCGGGGAGGAAGGGAGUAAAGUUAAUACCUUUGCUCAUUGACGUUACCCGCAGAAGAAGCACCGGCUAACUCCGUGCCAGCAGCCGCGGUAAUACGGAGGGUGCAAGCGUUAAUCGGAAUUACUGGGCGUAAAGCGCACGCAGGCGGUUUGUUAAGUCAGAUGUGAAAUCCCCGGGCUCAACCUGGGAACUGCAUCUGAUACUGGCAAGCUUGAGUCUCGUAGAGGGGGGUAGAAUUCCAGGUGUAGCGGUGAAAUGCGUAGAGAUCUGGAGGAAUACCGGUGGCGAAGGCGGCCCCCUGGACGAAGACUGACGCUCAGGUGCGAAAGCGUGGGGAGCAAACA
rnacentral:rRNA from 1 species